CCCUUAGAUGUUCUGGGCCGCACGCGCGCUACACUGACGAAUGCAACGAGCUUAUAACCUUGGCCGAAAGGUCUGGGUAAUCUCCAAAUUUCGUCGUGAUGGGGAUAGAUUAUUGCAAUUAUUAAUCUUCAACGAGGAAUGCCUAGUAAGCGCAAGUCAUCAGCUUGCGUUGAUUACGUCCCUGCCCUUUGUACACACCGCCCGUCGCUCCUACCUAUUGAAUGGUCCGGUGAAGCGUUCGGACCGUGGCCUUUGGACGGUUCGCCGUCUGUUGGCUGCGGGAAGUUCGUUAAACCUUAUCAUUUAGAGGAAGGAGAAGUCGUANCA
rnacentral:rRNA from 1 species